rnacentral:rRNA from 1 species
ACGAACGCUGGCGGCUGCUUAACACAUGCAAGUCGAACGGAGUGGCGAACGGGUGAGUAACGCGUGAGCAACCUGCCUAUGACAGUGGGAUAGCCUCGGGAAACCGGGAUUAAUACCGCAUAGUCAUAGAUGGGCUCGCGUCUGAUUAGCGAGUUUGUGAGAUAACAGCCCACCAAAGCGACGCUCAGUAGCCGGUCUGAGAGGCUGAACGGCGACAUUUGAACUGGGACACGGUGCAAACUCCUACGGGAGGCAGCAGUGGGGAAUAUUGCACAAUGGGAGAAACCCUGAUGCAGCGACGCCGCGUGAACUAAGAAGGUAUUCGUAUCGUAAAGUUCUGUCCUAUGGGAAGCAGUACCAUAGAAGAAAGCACCGGCUAAAUACGGGCCAGCAGCCGCGGUAAUAC